AGUGAACGCUGGCGGUAGGCCUAGCACAUGCAAGUCGAACGGCAGCACAGUAAGAGCUUGCUCUUACGGGUGGCGAGUGGCGGACGGGUGAGGAAUACAUCGGAAUCUACUUUUUCGUGGGGGAUAACGUAGGGAAACUUACGCUAAUACCGCAUACGACCUACGGGUGAAAGCAGGGGAUCUUCGGACCUUGCGCGAUUGAAUGAGCCGAUGUCGGAUUAGCUAGUUGGCGGGGUAAAGGCCCACCAAGGCGACGAUCCGUAGCUGGUCUGAGAGGAUGAUCAGCCACACUGGAACUGAGACACGGUCCAGACUCCUACGGGAGGCAGCAGUGGGGAAUAUUGGACAAUGGGCGCAAGCCUGAUCCAGCCAUACCGCGUGGGUGAAGAAGGCCUUCGGGUUGUAAAGCCCUCUUGUUGGGAAAGAAAAGCAGCAGGUUAAUACCCCGCUGUUCUGACGGUACCCAAAGAAUAAGCACCGGCUAACUUCGUG
rnacentral:rRNA from 1 species